rnacentral:lncRNA from 1 species
GCUGAACAAGACAAGUGGGACCUGCUCUCAGCCUUGGGCUCCCUGCCAGUGCCCCUCACUCUCGACCUGCAGCCCCUGCCGGCCCCCCUCGNGAUGUGAGAUGUGUAUAAGAGACAGCCCGCCCAGCCCUGCGGCCCCCCUCACUCCCAACCUGCAGCCCCUACUAGCUCAGCCCUGCUGGCCCCUCUCACUCCCGCCCCACAGCCCCUGCGGGCCCAGCCCUGCUGGUGUCCCUCACUCCCAAUUCGCAGUCCACACCAGCCCUGCCCUGCCAGUCCCCGUCACUCCCAACCUGCAGCCAUUAUUAGCCCAGGAAUCCCUCAUUGAAUGUUGACUUCUAGCAUGCUGCAUAAUCCUGCAAUUCUAUUACCCACAACCAUUCGGGAACUCAGGGCCCCCUGACCCCACUCCCUCGCCCUCACAGAGCCAGGGCAAGAACCCAGGAGUCCCGGCUCCCAGACCCCCCCAGCUCUAGCCCACCAGACCCCACUCCCCUCACAGAGCUGGGGAGAAAACCCAGGAGUCCCAGCGUCCUCUCUGACACUUUGCAGCACUGACACACAGAAACCUCCACACUCGCCUCCCUGGUGCCUGGCCCCCGAGGAGCUGCCCGAUCCCUGCUGCGGUGCCCAGAUUGGCUCCUUGCUGGCUGAGGCUGAGGAUUUAGGCUCAACCUUUCCUCCCGCCCCCAGCCCAGGCAGCCAGGCCUGUCCCCACCUGCCUGGGUGUGGUCUGGGCCCUGCCCUACUUAACCAGCCGAGCCAGGGGAGGGCUGAGCUGUGCUGCCUGUGCCUAGCUGUUCUGCCCUGGGGACCCGCCACCCAGUCUCAGAUCCAGGAUGCAGCCAGUCACCACUGGCCUCCUGCUGCUCUUGGCAGUGGCAUUUCCUGUCCUGAAAGCUGAACACCCCAUGGGUGAGUUCACCCUCUGCUCUCCUGCUGCCAGCAUGGUCCUGAGCUGCCCUGGGAGGUGGGAGGGAGCAGA